rnacentral:rRNA from 1 species
UACGAAGGGGGCUAGCGUUGCUCGGAAUCACUGGGCGUAAAGCGCACGUAGGCGGAUUGUUAAGUCAGGGGUGAAAUCCUGGAGCUCAACUCCAGAACUGCCUUUGAUACUGGCGAUCUCGAGUCCGGGAGAGGUGAGUGGAACUGCGAGUGUAGAGGUGAAAUUCGUAGAUAUUCGCAAGAACACCAGUGGCGAAGGCGGACUCACUGGCCCGGGUACUGACGGC